AGCUCCAAUAGCGUAUAUUAAAGUUGUUGCGGUUAAAAAGUUCGUAGUUGGAUUUCUGCUGGAUUCGGUCGGUCCGUGCUAUGCGCGAGUAUCUGUCCGAGCCCGGCAUCCUCGCGGAUCACGUUCCUGUGCUUCACUGCAUGGGUCGGAGUUCGCGACUUUUACUUUGAGGAAAUUAGAGUGUUCACGGCAGGCUAACGCCAUGAAUAUAUUAGCAUGGAAUAAUAAUAUAGGACCUUGGUUCUAUUUUGUUGGUUUCUAGGGCUAAGGUAAUGAUUAAUAGGGACAAUUGGGGGCAUUCGUAUUAACGCGUCAGAGGUGGAAUUCUUGGAUUGCGUUACGACGAACUACUGCGAAAGCAUUUGCCAAGGAUGUUUUCAUUGAUCAAGAACG
rnacentral:rRNA from 1 species